GACGAACGCUGGCGGCGUGCUUAACACAUGCAAGUCGAACGGAAAGGCCCUGCUUUUGUGGGGUGCUCGAGUGGCGAACGGGUGAGUAACACGUGAGUAACCUGCCCUUGACUUUGGGAUAACUUCAGGAAACUGGGGCUAAUACCGGAUAGGAGCUCCUGCUGCAUGGUGGGGGUUGGAAAGUUUCGGCGGUUGGGGAUGGACUCGCGGCUUAUCAGCUUGUUGGUGGGGUAGUGGCUUACCAAGGCUUUGACGGGUAGCCGGCCUGAGAGGGUGACCGGCCACAUUGGGACUGAGAUACGGCCCAGAGUGCUACGGGAGGCAGCAGUGGGGAAUAUGGCACAGUGGGCGGAAGCCUGAUGCAGCAACGCCGGGGGCGGGAUGACGGCCUUCGGGGUGUAAACCGCUUUCGCCUGUGACGAAGCGUGAGUGACGGUAAUGGGUAAAGAAGCACCGGCUAACUACGUG
rnacentral:rRNA from 1 species